rnacentral:rRNA from 1 species
CAAUACCCGUUGAUCCUGCGGGAGGUCGCUGCUAUUAGAGUUCGAUUUAGCUAAGCUAGUCAGGGGAUCGUAAGAUACCGGCGGAAAGUUCCGUAACACGUCGUUAAUCUACCCUUAGGUCAAGGAUAAUCUUGGGAAACUGAGUCUAAUACUUGAUAUGAGAUUGAUACUGGAAUGUACUUUCUCUGAAAGAUUUUGCCUAAGGAUGAGACGGCGGCCGAUUAGGUUGUUGGUGGGGUAAUGGCCCACCAAGCCGACGAUCGGUAGGGGCCAUGAAAGUGGUAGCCUCGAGGAGGACACUGAGAUAAGGGUCCUGACUCUACGGAGUAUAGCAAGCGCGAAAACUUUACAAUACACGAAAGUGUGAUAAGGGAACUCUAAGUGCUCAUGCAAUGCAUGGGCUUUUGCCGAGUGUAAAUAGCUCGGAGAAUAAGUGGUGGGCAAGACUGGUGCCAGCAGCCGCGGUAACACCAGCGCCACGAGUGGGGACCAGUAUUAUUGGGCCUAAAGCGUCCGUAGCCGGAUUAAUAAAUCUUUUGUGAAAUUGUUUGGCUUAACCUUACAGCGUGCAGAAGACACUGUUAAUCUUGAGACCGGGAGGAGUUAGAGGUAUGCCUGGGGUAGUGGUAAAAUGCUAUAAUCCUUGGUAGACCACCUGUGGCGAAGGCGUCUAACUAGAACGGGUCUGACGGUGAGAGAUGAAAGCUGGGGGAGCGAUCCGGAUUAGAUACCCGAGUAGUCCCAGCCGUAAACGCUGUGAGUUAGGUGUUGCGUAUUCUACGAGAAUACGCAGUGUCGUAGCGAAGGCGAUAAACUCACCGCCUGGGUAGUACGGUCGCAAGACUGAAACUUAAAGGAAUUGGCGGGGGAGCACAACAAGGGGUGCGGCGUGCGGUUUAAUCCAACUCAACACGGAGAAUCUCACCAGAGGCGACGGCAGGAUGAAAGUCAGAUUGAAGGUCUUACUAGACAAGCCGAGAGGUGGUGCAUGGCCGCCGUCAGCUCGUGCUGUGAAGUGUCCUGUUAAGUCAGGCAACGAGCGAGACCUGUGCCUACAAUUGCCAGCAACAUCUUUAGAUGGAUUGGGCACAUUGUAGGGACUGCCUUGGAAACAAGGAGGAAGGUGCAGGCAACGGUAGGUCUGUAUGCCCCGAAUCCUCUGGGCUACACGCGCGCAACAAUGGCAUGGACAAUGGGAUGCAACUCCGAAAGGAGAAGCUAAACCUCUAAACCAUGUCUCAGUCCAGAUUGUGGCUUGUAACUCAGCCACAUGACGUUGGAAUCCCUAGUAACCAGACGUUAGCAUCGUCCGGUGAAUAUGUCCCUGCUCCUUGUACACACCGCCCGUCAAGCCAACCGAGCAGGUUCUAGAUGAACCCUAGUCUAUUAAUUAGGAUGAAUCUGGGAUCAGUGAGGUGGGCUAAGUCGUCACAAGGUAGCCGUAGGGGAACCUGCGGCUGGAUCACCUCCUU